AGGGGGGGGGAAGGGCUGCCAUCCACAGCUGAUGGGAAAUGCCCAAGUUAAGGUCUGGAAAUGGACUGCCCAACAUAUGUGCCCCCACAUCCCUUCACAAAAGCGUUUGCAGUCGAACCUCAUAGAACUAUCUCCUGCAGAAGCGCUAUUGCAAAGAGGUGUUUUCUAGGGAAAUAUGUCUUUCUGCUUUGAGUGGGGAUGAUGCUACACUUUCAGUGACUCCGCAAGUGAGCUGUGACUGUGCUCCAGCCAUACCAGUCACUGUAGAAGAUGCCUGAAUACCCUGAUUUGUUUUUGUCUGCUUUGGUUCCCCAAACCACUGAAUUCACAGUGUGUUCAGCUGACAGGCAAAUAGCCCAGGUUUUGUGUUUUUAACACAUGGCCGGGAGCAGACCGACCAUAAGCCCUCCUGGCCCAGUCUGCCGUGGAGAGCUGCAAAGCCAUGGCAGUGCACAGACUGCGUGGAAAGAAAGAUGGAAAUGCUUUAGACAAGCAUUAGCCUUGGAAAAGAA